UAUGGUAUCUACUGUGCAGGGGUUCUGCUUCUAGUUUCCAGUUUGCUGCUGCAAGCAGCUGGAAUGACCUCACGCCUUCAUUCCCCGACCUUCAAUAACUCAUUACAAACGGACGUCGACAGGCAAGUGGCCAAAUGUCUUGGGGAACUGAGCACAGAUGAAGUCUGCCGCUGGUUUACCAAUAUCGGACUGCAGAAAUGUCUUCCUUUCAUCCGAGAUGUAAACCUGUGUGGAGCAGACGUAGCAUCGGUGGAUGUGAACACUCUGGACGUCCUGCACAUCACCACCCUGGAGGAGAGGGAGAAGCUGCUGUCUGCCGUUUAUAAGGAGCUGCACCCUUCCAGCCCAAUCACCCAGAGACUCGACUCUCUGCUCGAUUCGUUGGGCCCGAACAGUGUGGAGACAUUCACCGCGACAUUAGUGUCAAUGAGCAAAUCUAAGUCCUCUCCACAUGUGAGCUGCCUGAGCAUGAAUCGGCGUUCCCUAAAGCGCAGAAACACCAGCCAAACCCCCUUGGCACAGAGGAAUUCUCAGCUGAUCGAGAUAGCAAUUAAUGCAUCAGAGCGGAUAGUUCAUCUCCGAACCCCAAAGGAAACAACGGUGGGGAAAAUCAUGGAUUCAUGCAUCAAAAUGUUGGGAAUGACAGAAGACAGGAGCCUUUUCAUACUGAGAGAAAAGCAAGGUUCAUCGGAAGACCUCCCCCCAGAUCAGCUGAUCGCCAGCCUACUGACAUCGACAUCAGAGGACAGGCAGUUGGAGCUGCACUUGUGUAAAACGGACGGGUCAUCUGGAACCAUAGCAAAACAAAAUCCAGGAGUCCACAGCUCUAAUGAGAAUAACAACAUCAACAAAAAUGCCCUGGUGAACCGGCCAGCCAAAGAAGAGAGGAUCAAAGAACUAAACCAGCAGGUGGAAUCGCUCCAAAAUGUCAUCCUUCAGGUCCAGGAGCUCCACCACGGCCUGGUGGCAUUUUGCUCAGAGAUAAAGAACAUGGAUGGAGACGUGGAUGUGGACAGGCUUAGCUCCGCUGAGCUGAAGGAGAGGUCGCAGUUGGUUAAAAGCCGCCUGAAUGACAAGAGGCGGAGCCUGCAGACCCUCAGAGACAACAUUAACGACUCCACUGCUCACAAAAAGAAACAGUUGGACGUACGUCUCUUGGAAAAGAUGAAACUGAACUGCCAGGUGUUUAAGGAGGAAAUUUCCAUGGUACAUCUCAAUCGGCAGAUGGCACACCUCCAAAAUGCUUUGCAAGAAAGCUACGUUAAGGAGAAAGUUCAGAGAAAAAGUUUGGCCAUUGGUAGCCUGAGCCAGCUGGUGUCCCCGCAGUCUCCUGCCAUGCUGCUGGUUGUGCAGGAGAACCGAAACCCCGAUGGCCAGUACGGCUUCUCGUGUUGCUACAGGGAAGGCAGCGGACUACUGGUGGUCAAGGUGGAAAACUGCCAACUCUGUGUUGACGACAGGCUGGUGGAGGUGAAUGGUGUGCCGGUGGUUAACUCUACACAGGAAGAGCUGACCACCAUCUUACUGGAGGGACCCAGCGCCAAUAUUGUUGUCCUUCGCCAGCCCCCGCUCCCCCCCACCUCCGUAGUCCUGCAGCGCAUCAUCACCUCUGAUCCCGAGCAACAGCUCUCUCUUGCCGACUUAGACCGGGGUGUGGUUCCAGUUGAAACAACUCCUCGACGGAAGGUGGUGGCCAUCUGAUGAUACGACAGAGAGAGAAAAAGACCAGCGCAGAGACUUGAGGGUUAAUGAUAUCUGACUGUGGAGCCAUGCAGCGAAAUGCCCUCUUUUGUUAGUUAUUUAACUCUAAAUAUAAAUAUAUGUUAUUGAAAAUGUCAAUGUGUUGAAAUGAUAGACGUUUAGUUAGGAACAUCCAAUAGUAAUAUAGCUGUGUUGUUAUGUGACGUUUUCCUCGACUAAGCCUCAACACAUGUACACAGCGUUGUGCUUGGCAGAUAGAACAGUUAUAUUUGAUCCAUAUUGUUGCAAUGUAUACGGAGAACCAUGCCUGUGAAAAAAACUUAUUUCCAGAAAAACACAUGAAACCGAACCACAUUGACUUCUUUCUAUUUGCAUCUCCUCUUGUGCUACAUCAUAUUUUGUGCCAUGAGGGAAAAUGAAUAGUACAGGAAAGACAAGGAGGCAGAGCCUGAUAAGGACAAUGCAUGCUUCAUCUUGUACAACUAUAAUUGAAAAUAUGUGAAUCCUGUCUAUAGUUACUGUAACAUAUCGUGUAAAGAUACAUCCAAUAGCUUUGUAUCCUGUUUCUCUUAUUAGAAUAGAGACUUGUACGGCUACAACAGUAUUCGGAGCAAAAACAUGAGUCACGUCCCUUUUUUUGGAUGUUGUAAUGUAAUCCACUGUGCUGCAGGAAUAAACCCUUGGGCCCGGAAAUGCCUCAUUUCUCAGCCUUGUUCUCCCUCGUUAAGUGGCAGUGGAUCAUAGUCUGACAGAGAGAAAGCACAAACACCACCAAACCCCUGACCCAGACCCCGGGGGUCCAAAGAGCCUGAGAGGAG
ensembl:lncRNA